rnacentral:rRNA from 1 species
GAUGAACGCUGGCGGCGUGCCUAAUACAUGCAAGUCGAGCGAACAGACGAGGAGCUUGCUCCUCUGACGUUAGCGGCGGACGGGUGAGUAACACGUGGAUAACCUACCUAUAAGACUGGGAUAACUUCGGGAAACCGGAGCUAAUACCGGAUAAUAUAUUGAACCGCAUGGUUCAAUAGUGAAAGACGGUUUUGCUGUCACUUAUAGAUGGAUCCGCGCCGCAUUAGCUAGUUGGUAAGGUAACGGCUUACCAAGGCAACGAUGCGUAGCCGACCUGAGAGGGUGAUGGGCCACACGGGAACUGAGACACGGUCCAGACCCCUAGGGGAGGCAGCAGUAGGGAAUCUUCCGCAAGGGGCGAAAGCCUGACGGAGCAACGCCGCGGGAGUGAUGAAGGUCUUCGGAUCGUAAAACUCUGUUAUUAGGGAAGAAAAAAUGUGUAAGUAACUAUGCACGUCUUGAGGGUACCUAAUCAGAAAGCCACGGCUAACUACGUG